rnacentral:rRNA from 1 species
UACGUAGGGGGCAAGCGUUGUCCGGAAUCAUUGGGCGUAAAGAGCGUGUAGGCGGCUUGGUAAGUCCGCUGUGAAAGUCCAGGGCUCAACCCUGGAAUGCCGGUGGAAACUGUCAAGCUUGAGUCCGGAAGAGGCGAGUGGAAUUCCUGGUGUAGCGGUGAAAUGCGCAGAUAUCAGGAGGAACACCGGUGGCGAAGGCGGCAUCCUGGACCGAUACUGACGCUGAGGAGCGAAAGCCAGGGGAGCAAACGGG